CAGAGAAGAUGUGAAAUCAAUGAAAAAUGUGUGCUUAAGCCUCUACACAACGCGGACUGUGAAAUUGCACAUUGCCAUCCAUUGAACCUUAUCCUUCCAAAGCACGUCAGAAAUUUUAGUUCAGACAUAGCUGUAGAUUUUGGUAGCAAGCAUAAAUUGUCCUGCUUGGACAAAUUUAAUCAAACGGGAGACGGAAUUGUAAGUUGUUUGUGGAACGGAACUUGGAGUGACGUCAAUAUCAUGUGU